rnacentral:lncRNA from 1 species
UAUAAACUUACAAUUUUUCGAUCGAAUGUACCAGUUAAUACAUUAAUAUACUUAGUUGUUCCAUUGAUUUAUAAUAUAACCUUGAAUUAUGGUACACUCUUAUAUACCAUUGCAAAAGAAAGUGCUUUUCGCAUAAGCUAAAAGGAAUUUAAAUUAUCAGUAAAGCAGUCAAUGCAAUAUCAAUAAUAAUUUAAUACUUACCCCAGCAAAUACUUGGUGGGAUGAGACAAACAUAUUUCCGAUUGAUAGAAAGCACGGUUUUCCACUUCUAGCUAUUAUAAGUAGUAGCAAUUUUUGUGUAUGUAUAGAUAAUGUAUAAAACGGAACGUCACACCUAUAAACAAAUAUUCCAUUGUCAUCCU